UGUAGCAAUAAACAUGUAGGUAUGUACGAGUAUGAACUUAUAUUUCCAUACCAUCAUGUCUAUGUACAAUUUGCUAUGUACAUGCCAGUGUACAAACAUAUGUAUAUACAUGUAUGUAGCAAAUACUAUGUAUAUCGGUAUGUUUUCUGCAUACAUUUUUUAUCAAAACUUUUGUAUGGUCAUAUUUUUAGCAAAAAUAUUUAAUUUUUCCUUUUCGAUUUCUAUAGAACGAAAAUGUUUCUCCGCUUUGAGUAUGGGUGGUGGAUGGAGGCAAUUUCAAUGUAUGGGUGGAAAUAAUAAUGCAUUUUGGUGUGUUGUUGGUAGUGAAGAGAGACAGAGAGUGAAGCUGUAGAAUCUCCAUAAUUCUUAAAGCGGACAGAGAUGCAUGCGCAUGUCCAUUUUUCGUUCUCUGGUGUGUGUUAAGCUAAUUACACCCUCUCUCGUUCUCUCAGUAGACUCAUACGCCACCCACACAACCAUGAUCCUGCCCGCCACGCCGAAAUAAGUGUGUUUGUUCUCCAAAUGCGCGAACUAAACCAAAACAGUUUGUGUGAAUAAUUUUCGGUUUGUGUGAGUGUGGCCAUUUCUGUUUUGUUUUUAGAAACAUUUUCUAUUAUUUUUGGAAAUAUUUCGUAGUGUUUACUUUCUUUUUGUUCACAUUGGCAUUCGGACAUCGCCUACAUGUACAGUACAUAUGCUUGCAGGGAGAUUAGAAGGGGGAUCGGUGGGACGAAUGAACUAAGGAUAGAUCUUGCCAGAGCUGCAGAGAGCAUUUCAUAUCAUCAUAAAUACGACAGCGUCAGUCUAGUACGUCCAUACGGUUCUCAGGCUAAGGCUGUAUAUCUAUCAAGAAAAAGAGUUUUCUCUUACGCACACACAUCCACACCAACACGAUGGCUCUAGUUGUUACUCUUUAAAACACCCGUUUUUUUUUGUUUUAAAGCUUUUUAAUUUUGACUAACAGAAACUCAACUUGCUAAAUACAUCCCCUCAUGUGAAUCAACACUUCGAGAUAUCAUAUACUAUAUGCUAAGGUCGUAAUGGCCAAUCCCUUUGCUAAUAUUCUAUAUACCUGUACAUAUUGCUUUUUGAAUGACUUUGGUUUGAAUCCACAUUUUCCAAAACGAUGUUGUUGACAGCAAUAAAACAAAAAGUAAUCUCGGUUGAAAACAUUGACUUGAAUUUUUUCGUUACUUGUACAGUGCUCUCGCAACAAUAUAUGAAUAUAUAAACUAAAAGACUUUUUCUGAGCAAUGAGAAUUCUAUGUAGCUAUACCUUGUUGUACAAUUAAGAUCCUAUUCUUUUGUAAAAAUCAUCAGACAAAAUAUUUUAAUGGAAUACAUGCAAUGUUAAAACCGCAAUUA
rnacentral:sRNA from 1 species